CAGCAGCGCGGGAAUACAGAGGGUGCGAGCGUUAAUCGGAUUUACUGGGCGUAAAGCGUGCGUAGGCGGCUUCUUAAGUCGGAUGUGAAAUCCCUGAGCUUAACUUAGGAAUUGCAUUCGAUACUGGGAAGCUAGAGUAUGGGAGAGGAUGGUAGAAUUCCAGGUGUAGCGGUGAAAUGCGUAGAGAUCUGGAGGAAUACCAAUGGCGAAGGCAGCCAUCUGGCCUAAUACUGACGCUGAGGUACGAAAGCAUGGGGAGCAAACAGGAUUAGAUACCCCCGUAGUCCCUGUCUCUUAUACA
rnacentral:rRNA from 1 species